GAUGAACGCUGACAGAAUGCUUAACACAUGCAAGUCUAGUUGAAUUUGGGUUUUGUAACUUAGAUUUGGGUGGCGGACGGGUGAGUAACGCGUAAAGAACUUUCCUCACAGUUAGGGACAACAUUUGGAAACGUAUGCUAAUACCUGAUAUUAUGAAUAUAUGGCAUCAUAUAAUUAUGAAAGCUAUAAGCGCUGUGAGAGAGCUUUGCGUCACAUUAGCUAGUUGGAGAGGUAACGGCUCACCAAGGCGAUGAUGGGUAGCCGGCCUGAGAGGGUGAACGGCCACAAGGGGGCUGCGACACGGCCCGUACUCCUACGUGUGGCAGCAGUGGGGAAUAUUGGACAAUGGACCAAGAGUCUGAUCCAGCAAUUCUCUGUGGACGAUGACGUUUUUCGGAAUGUAAAGUGCUUUCAGUUGGGAAGAAAAGAAUGACGGUACCAAAAGAAGAAGUGACGGCUAAAUACGUG
rnacentral:rRNA from 1 species